rnacentral:lncRNA from 1 species
CGGGAGACCCGGGCCGCAGGAGAGAAGACCCAGGGAACUCCCAGCUGGUGCAACUGCCCAGGAGGGGUCUUUGUCAGUGAGGACUGGCAAAAUCAGUCGAUUUUGUCUGUCUUUAUCUUCUUUUUAUUAAGCUCCCAUAGUUCAGGUAUGUAUGGUUUCCCCAGCCUGCAGAGGCUCAGAAACUGCCAAGGGGAGCAAGGUGCCCUGACCAGAGAGGGGUCACUCCCCAUAGAAGAGAGACUUGAAGGGCAGACUUCACGGACCCAGCUGGAUCUUGGGACAUUCCUGACAACCCAGAAAGCGCUACUGCGGAGUGAACCGGUCCUUAUAUCUUAGUUUCGUGACUUUGGGGGCGGCAGGCCUGUGAGUUGUUUUCCGCCCUGGACGCUGUUUUGCAAAGAUCUCUGCGCGCCCACCGCCACCCUCCCGGGCGUGCGGGCCGGGAAGCAGCCAGCGGUGGGAAACUCCGACGCCCUCCUCGACACUUUUCUCCCCCCAACUCCCCAAGACUCACUUCUAGGGAAGUCCUUUUUCCCAUCAAGCCCUGGGAAAGACUGGCCAGGCUGAGAGAGGGACCCGUCCUCCUCUGUGCCAAAGGCGGGAGCAAAUCCUGGUGCUGUCGCCUUUGGAUGAAACUUUUCGCGCAGAAACUCCUGGAGAACAGCCCCGGCCGCCAGGAAAGAAGCGUACCCAGGCCGUCUGCUGUGUGCCCACCCCGAUCCCCAUCAGUGCCCCACGCACUCGAGCUCUUCUUCGGCGUCUGCAGCCUCUUCAUCCGCGCGGAGAGGCGGAGGUCUCCCGGAAACAGUGUCCGACUGUGGCACCCCAGAGCGUCCAAUGCGAGCUCAGGCCUUUCCCGCAAGUCUGGAGUUUUCUUAUCCAGUUGAGGCCGCCUUCGCUGUACUCACUCUCUGCCUCCCACCCCAUCUUCUGCCACCCGACCUCCAUCUUUGAUGGUUAGCGCCUUCAGCCCUCAACAGCUUCGCACAACCAACCCCUAGAAGCCGUGGAGUCAGACCGGCCAGGGUGGGACCUAGGUUUUAACUCGGGUUCUGGCUACACACGCUGCGCCUCCAUACAGUUUGUCCCAGGUUUGGCAGCAGGCCGGCUACCUUCAGGAAUUCUUUGCUUUGGCUUCUGUCUGUUCCUGUCUGUUGGGCAAGUUUCUAGCUACCCCACUGAGAGAACCAUAGAACAAGGACCCUGGCAUGGCAUACAGACAAGGAAUGUUUGCUGAAUUAAUGGAGCUGGUGCCUUGCAGCUUCCCUUUUGUUCCUUGAAGUUGCCCUUGCUCUCCUCCACAUCAGCUCCCUCUCCUCCUCAGCUACUUAUUCCCCACCCUGGCUUCUUCUAGUCGCAGUCCCCAAGUACUUGCUGAAUCCUGUAUGGACAGCCUAAGCCUCCAUUUCUGACAAUUCCUGUGGCCCCACUCCAUUUGUUUUUUAGACUUCUCCCU